GUGUCCUUGGCCGAGCGGCCAGGUGCCAGUCUUCCAAACUGGAUAGGCGAGUUCGACUCUCGCAGGACACU
rnacentral:tRNA from 1 species